CCGCCGUAAAACCUUGGAGAAUCAAUGGGUUGCUCCGGUGUUCCGACAGCAGUGUUUACUGAGACAAACCUGGGCACCUGCCUCGCCGUUCCGGCUUCUCCGGACAUCACGGCCGACGACUUCAAGAGAUUUUCCAGGAAUUUCUCUAUGGAAACUGGUUUUGAUGUCGUGAACUGAGAAUGUUGCUGGAUAAUACAUUGGUUUUGCCCCUUGUUUUUAUCAUUUAGGAAUAAAAAGAAGCGCGCACUUCAUAUAAUAAUGUGUGCGUGAGAACAGUUAGCUGAGUAGCUAUCUAUAUGCUCGAUGAUGAUAUGUUGUACUACUCGCAGGAGAGGUGGAAAGGGCGCAUCUCAAUUGUUUCCCCGAAUUCGGAACUAUCAGGGUCAAAGCAGUGAUGGUGACGCAAAAAUUACAACGUUAUCACUUAUCGGGGUCUUUGCCUCUCAAGUAUGCUUUUCUGGGUUCAAAUGUUACUUGGUUUCUUCAAACACACGUUAUUUUAUCAAAUGUUCCUACUCAUGUAGAGUCACUGAGACACAAUGGAGCCGAAGUUUGCAAUCUGAAUUCUGCUGCUGAUGUGAUUACUAACUUAGUUGAGCUGGGAAGCGCUUCCCCUGAGAAGAGAACAAAAUGCAAAAGAAAGAUUAAGGUAGGAAGAUUUCUGAAGAUUUCUACAGCUUUGUGUUUCCGUAGAAAGUGGAAAAGGAAAAAUGCGAAGAAAAGCCUGAAACGAGACACCCAAUACUAGGGCGUACACAGCCUUGUCUUGUUGAAAAGGAAAUGUUGUGUGAAUUUGCUACUGAAGCUGAAGUGAAUUCGGAGUCCAAUGUGAUUGGUGAGGCCACGGGUGAAACGAUUUCAGUGUCAGGGAUUAUCAACAAGUACUUUUCAGAUUAUGAUGAAGUGGCCUCCAAUCCAAAAUCUCUUUCUACCACAGCACGAUAUAGAUGCUGGAAGCAGCGCAGCAGAUGUGAAUACCGGUCUAGCAUAGUGAAGUCGCCCGUAUAUCCUCCCAGUUCUGAAAAGCAUAAAACACCAAACAUUGGAAAGGGUCUUUUGGUUGCAUCAGCUAGUCUGGGGCUGGCUCCAAGUAAUGGACGUUCCAUACUUUCUCUGUACCGUCACAAUCAUGGAGAGUCGAUGUUCCAUGAAUUCUCAGCUGCAGUGUUUGAGAUGGCAGACGAAUAACUGUAAAGUACAACUCUUUUGUUUGUUUCAAGGUACAUACAACUUCAAGUAUCAACAAGCAUCUUUCACAAAUGAAAAGUUGUGUUUAUGCUCACACCUACAUUUUUAUGUUUGUCUCACACAAGUUGGCAUUCACUUUUGAGAAUGACUCAACUGAAUGAAGAAUGUUGUAUUCUUGUCAUGCUAUUGUGACUUGCCCUCUAAGAAAGGCAUACAUUUUUGCUUUUGGAACGCAAGUCAUUUUUAUUUU